rnacentral:rRNA from 1 species
GACGAACGCUGGCGGCGUGCUUAACACAUGCAAGUCGAACGGAAAGGCCCUGCUUGCAGGGUACUCGAGUGUCGAACGGGUGAGUAACACGUGGGUGAUCUGCCCUGCACUUCGGGAUAAGCCUGGGAAACUGGGUCUAAUACCGGAUAGGAGCCAUUUUUAGUGUGAUGGUUGGAAAGUUUUUUUCGGUGUAGGAUGAGCUCGCGGCCUAUCAGCUUGUUGGUGGGGUAAUGGCCUACCAAGGCGGCGACGGGUAGCCGGCCUGGGAGGGUGGACGGCCACAUUGGGACUGGGAUACGGCCCAGACUCCUACGGGAGGCAGCGGUGGGGAAUAUUGCACAAUGGGCGCAAGCCUGAUGCAGCGACGCCGCGUGGGGGAUGACGGCCUUCGGGUUGUAAACUCCUUUCGCUAGGGACGAAGCUUUUUGUGACGGUACCUAGAUAAGAAGCACCGGCUAACUACGUG